CCUGUACCUAGAUUCACCUAGUUUUCGCGAGAGCUUCAGUCCUUGGCCGUCAGACGUUUCCACGCAGGAGAGGGGUCCCGUGCUGUUCUGUUAUUGAUUGGGUUCUCCCUAUUCUUCCUUCGGAUGGGUUCUGGAGACUCUGUGGUGAUUGGUUGCGUGUGGCUUCUGGCCUGCUUGAUCCUCUUGGCUCCUUUCCGGUCUAUGGUGGCAUUCUGGCUGUACGCUUCAGUGGCUGGCGCCGUGCUCGGGUUGCCUGGCUCAGUGUCUCGUUUGUGCUCCUCCAUUCUUUUUUCAAUUGUUCGGGACGUAGCUCCGGUGUGCGCCGCCUCCGUGUGCGUGGCGCUUUCAGCU
rnacentral:lncRNA from 1 species